GCGCGAUAUAGCAGAAACAUUUGCUGAGGCUCGAGGGAUGACCGUUGAGGAAUUACCACUGGAAAAUAUCGAAGAAGCGGUUCAGCGAGAAAACAACCGCCGAGAUGACCAGCAGGCCAGUACAUCCGGCCUUCGCUCAACUGCCCGCGCGGAUGAUGAAGGAGACUUUUCCAGCUUUGGUGGCCGUGGAUCCCGCGGCUUCACAGUUGGCAAGCGACGUAACACUGUUGUCGACCUGGACACUCCACCGUCGUCACCGGAGCGAGAUCACCGCCCAGUUCGCUUUGCGGGUGUUCGGAUCCCAGCGAAAGGCCCGCGAAACCGAUCAGAGAUUGUAACACUGAACUUCUCAGACGACAGUGAUGUAGAACCCCUUGAAACGCCGUCCGUAAAAGAAAUUCUGCCUUUAUUAUCCACUAAAGACGAUGCGGAAAGUUCAGAUCCCACGUUAAAGAAAAGAUUUGCAAUACGAGAUCUUCCGGAACCUGAAAAUCAGUACUUGACGGUUAAGGAUAUGCGUGAGCAAUUUUCCGUUAAAAUGACACACGAGUAUCCGAUGGUCAAGUCACAGUUCGUAUACGCGUGGCUUCCGGAGAAAAAUGUGGAAAAUUUCAGCAAUUUCUACUGUGCGCAUGGUGAUGACCUUGCUAAUA